rnacentral:rRNA from 1 species
CCACUUCUUAGAGGGACAGUUGGUUUGAAGCCAAAGGAAGCAUGAGGCAAUAACAGGUCUGUGAUGCCCUUAGACGUUCUGGGCUGCACGCGCGCUACACUGACUAAGCCAGCGAGUGGAACCAUGGCUGAGAAGUCUUGGUAAUCUUGUGAAACUUAGUCGUGAUGGGGAUAGAGCAUUGUAAUUAUUGCUCUUGAACGAGGAAUUCCUAGUAAGCGCAAGUCAUCAGCUUGCGUUGAUUACGUCCCUGCCCUUUGUACACACCGCCCGUCGCUAGUACCGAUUGAAUGGCUUAGUGAGGCCUCAGGAUUUGUUUAAGAAAGGAGGCGACU